rnacentral:lncRNA from 1 species
AUCAAUCAAGUUGCAUAUCUCAUCACAGCACAAUAUCAAUCAAGUUAACUAACUUGCAUGUACUCACAAAAAAAUAAAUCAUGACCAAAGAAGGAUAAAACAGUAAUUCAUUCUCAUAAGCCUUCCAACAUUUAUACGUUCCAGUCACCGAAUCACUCGAUAGGUUUACAAAAUGAUAGAUGCAUGUCCAUUGAUUCAUUGUUUGCUCCAUUAAACAAAAUACCCAGAUGACAAGACCCCGCCAUAUAGGUCCACAAAAUGAUCCUAAAAGACACUGUUUUUGCUCCAUUACACAAGAUGUCUAGCGAACACGAACUGCCAUCUUCAUGGUUCCUUCCUGGUCCUUUUGUAAGUCUUGCCUGCAAAGGAUACAAAGUCACCAGUGAAUUCAUGCAUUCAUAGAGACAAUGGUGAAAAUAAUAAUUGCAUAAAGCAUCAAUGGCUGUGGGGUUUUAGUGUUAUAAAAAAUAUGGCAAGUCCUAAAUAAUGCGACAACAUGUUUAAUUAGAAUUUGUACUGUGUUAGACAAAAUAGAGCAUUAAUGCCUGAUGGCCAUGGAAUAUAUUUCAUCAAGAAAUAUGAGCAAUAUGCAUCAUCUGGCUGCAGUUUGGCAUACGACCAAUUAUUGAGAGCAACACAUUCACAUACAGACUCACGAUGGUUAGUUUUUCUAGAAAAAAUCACCAAUUUUCUUUCUUUCUUUUCUCUGGGCUGGAAAAGACUGCAGUGCGCCUGACAAUUAUAUUUAGAAAACCGUCAAAGAAUUACAUAUGCACGUCAAUGCCACAAAUUAUAUUAAAGCCAUUAAUUUCAGAGAAGCAUAUGUACUGUACAUACAAAUCUUUAUAGGUAUAAGAA